UACGUAGGGUGCAAGCGUUAAUCGGAAUUACUGGGCGUAAAGCGUGCGCAGGCGGCUUUGCAAGACAGAUGUGAAAUCCCCGGGCUUAACCUGGGAACUGCAUUUGUGACUGCAUGGCUAGAGUGCGGCGGAGGGGGAUGGAAUUCCGCGUGUAGCAGUGAAAUGCGUAGAUAUGCGGAGGAACACCGAUGGCGAAGGCAAUCCCCUGGGCCUGCACUGACGCUCAUGCACGAAAGCGUGGGGAGCAAACAGG
rnacentral:rRNA from 1 species